rnacentral:rRNA from 1 species
UUCUUGGUCAUUUAGAGGAAGUAAAAGUCGUAACAAGGUUUCCGUAGGUGAACCUGCGGAAGGAUCAUUAAAGAAAUUUAAUAAUUUUGAAAAUGGAUUUUUUUGUUUUGGCAAGAGCAUGAGAGCUUUUACUGGGCAAGAAGACAAGAGAUGGAGAGUCCAGCCGGGCCUGCGCUUAAGUGCGCGGUCGUGCUAGGCUUGUAAGUUUCUUUCUUGCUAUUCCAAACGGUGAGAGAUUUCUGUGCUUUUGUUAUAGGACAAUUAAAACCGUUUCAGUACAACACACUGUGGAGUUUUCAUAUCUUUGCAACUUUUUCUUUGGGCAUUCGAGCAAUCGGGGCCCAGAGGUAACAAACACAAACAAUUCUAUCUAUUCAUUAAAUUUUUGUCAAAAACAAGAAUUUUCGUAACUGGAAUCUUAAAAUAUUAAAAACUUUCAACAACGGGUCUCUUGGUUCUCGCAUCGAUGAAGAACGCAGCGAAAUGCGAUACGUAAUGUGAAUUGCAGAAUUCCGUGAAUCAUCGAAUCUUUGAACGCACAUUGCGCCCCUUGGUAUUCCAGGGGGCAUGCCUGUUUGAGCGUCAUUUCCUUCUCAAACAUUCUGUUUGGUAGUGAGUGAUACUCUUUGGAGUUAACUUGAAAUUGCUGGCCUUUUCAUUGGACGUUUUUUUUCCAAAGAGAGGUUUCUCUGCGUGCUUGAGGUAUAAUGCAAGUACGGUCGUUUUAGGUUUUACCAACUGCGGCUAAUCUUUUUUUAUACUGAGCGUAUUGGAACGUUAUCGAUAAGAAGAGAGCGUCUAGGCGUACAAUGUUCUUAAAGUUUGACCUCAAAUCAGGUAGGAGUACCCGCUGAACUUAAGCAUAUCAAUAAGCGGAGGAA